rnacentral:lncRNA from 1 species
CUUGGACCAAGUUUCCGUAAAUUCUGGCAUCCGGAUUCAGCUCCUUCUGUGGCUGUGUGAGUCCUCAUUCUGGAGUUCCCACAGAGCUCACUCGCUGCACCCCAAAUCUGCCGGUACUUCCACCACUCUGAGCCUUUGUCCAAGCCUUGCACUUGGCAUUUAGCUUCCUCUAGACAAAUCCUCCAGAAUUAUUUCCCAGACUGACUUCUGAGAGGCACCUUCUCCUGCUCGUCUGCAAUGCUCUCUGUUUCCCCUCAUUGACCCACAAUCUGAGGGUGUCAGGACCUUUCCAAAAUUCUUCUGAUACUAAGAGGUUUUAGCAAGUUCUUGGAGCUUAUAAAUAUCCUCAGGCUUUGGAACUGAUUUACCUAUUCUUCCGUACCUAGCAACAUCUGCAGUGCUUCCAAUAGGAGCUCUUUUUCCUAAGGCCUGCAACGUGCGGUACCAUCGGCCCUGGCCCAAGCUCCUUCCUAGCACUGAAGAGCUGGCCCCUGAUGCACUGUCUGCAAUUUUCCAUUACCUUUGUUGUCUAUUUCUGUCUGGAAUGGUCCUACUGGGUUAGAAGUUCCUUGGAGAUAAGGAGUCCCUUGGUAUUAUUGGUCUGUUCUCUUUGGAGUCUUUGCCAUGUGUCUUUUCGACUCUCCCUUCUCUGAAAUGUUUCCAACUCCUGCUGCAAGUGAAAAAUGGAAGCUCAAAAGCCCUGAACACAGUUCAAACACCUUCCCCGCCCCCAGGUGCUUAAAGAACUGCUGAGUAAAUUAAACUGUAGAUGGGAGACAGCAGAGCCAUCUCCCCGUGCCCAGCCGAGCUGGCUCUUCAAGGUCAAGAGCACAGAAGGAAAAAAAAAAACAGCAGAACACGGUUCAGCAACCAGACCGGAAUUUGCCACGAAAGCAAAGAAAAGCUUUGCAAUUACAAAGUUCCUUUGAUUUCCUAUUUUCAUUUUGGACAUGCAAUUAUUACUGUACAAGCUGAGCUGAGUGGAUUUAUACUUUUUUGAAUUAUAGUUAAAAAGAGUAGUGAUAUUUUCAGUAAAUUAAUUAGAAUGGGGGUAUGUCAAGCAUUCCACUGUAGUGGAAUGUGUCUAAAUAUUGGUUACAUUAUCUAUCCAUUUGAAUAUACAAAAGGUUACAUAUAUGCAAACAGACAUGUAUUACAUACAGGCACAUGUGCACGCCUGUAAUGCCAGCUGCUCUGGAGGCUGAGACAGGAGGAUCCUGAGUUGAAAGCCAGCCUCAACAAAAAGCGAGGUGCUAAGCAACUCAGUGAGACCCUGUCUUUAAAUAAAAUAUUAAAAAGGGGCUGGGGAUAUGGCUCAGUGGUUGAGUGUCCCUGAGUUCCAUCCCUAGUACAAAAUUGCCCUGAAUUGCAGGUGAUACAUAACAGAGGAGUGCUCAGGGAGACAAGGCUCA